rnacentral:rRNA from 1 species
AACGAACGCUGGCGGCGUGCCUAACACAUGCAAGUCGAACGAGAAAGGGGCUUCGGCUCCGAGUAAAGUGGCGCACGGGUGAGUAACACGUGGGUAACCUGCCUCUAAGAUUGGGAUAACUCGUCGAAAGAUGAGCUAAUACCGGAUAAGACCACAGUUCCCGCGGGAACAGGGGUCAAAGGUAGCCUCUGCUUGCAAGCUAUCACUUUGAGAUGGGCCUGCGCACCAUUAGCUAGUUGGUAGGGUAACGGCCUACCAAGGCAAAGAUGGUUAGCUGGUCUGAGAGGAUGAUCAGCCACACUGGAACUGAGACACGGUCCAGACUCCUACGGGAGGCAGCAGUGGGGAAUAUUGCGCAAUGGGCGAAAGCUUGACGCAGCAACGCCGCGUGAGUGAUGAAGGCCUUCGGGUCGUAAAGCUCUGUCGGGAGGAACGAAUGCUCCCAAGGUUAACAGCCUCGGGAGGUGACGGUACCUUCAAAGGAAGCACCGGCUAACUCUGUGCCAGCAGCCGCGGUAAAAC